rnacentral:rRNA from 1 species
UACGUAGGGGGCAAGCGUUAUCCGGAUUUACUGGGUGUAAAGGGAGCGUAGACGGUGAUGCAAGUCAGAAGUGAAAGCCCGGGGCUCAACCCCGGGACUGCUUUGGAAACUGCAUAGCUGGAGUGCUGGAGAGGCAAGCGGAAUUCCUAGUGUAGCGGUGAAAUGCGUAGAUAUUAGGAAGAACACCAGUGGCGAAGGCGGCUUACUGGACGAUGACUGACGCUGAGGCUCGAAAGCGUGGGGAGCAAACAGG